GAUGAACGCUGGCGGCGUGCCUAAUACAUGCAAGUAGAACGCUGAAGGAGGAGCUUGCUCUUCUGGAUGAGUUGCGAACGGGUGAGUAACGCGUAGGUAACCUGCCUGGUAGCGGGGGAUAACUAUUGGAAACGAUAGCUAAUACCGCAUGACAACAGUUAUUGCAUGAUAACUGUUUAAAAGGGGCAACUGCUCCACUACCAGAUGGACCUGCGUUGUAUUAGCUAGUUGGGGAGGUAACGGCUCACCAAGGCGACGAUACAUAGCCGACCUGAGAGGGUGGUCGGCCACACUGGGACUGAGACACGGCCCAGACUCCUACGGGAGGCAGCAGUAGGGAAUCUUCGGCAAUGGACGGAAGUCUGACCGAGCAACGCCGCGUGAGUGAAGAAGGUUUUCGGAUCGUAAAGCUCUGUUGUAAGAGAAGAACGAGUGUGAGAGUGGAAAGUUCACACUGUGACGGUAUCUUACCAGAAAGGGACGGCUAACUACGUG
rnacentral:rRNA from 1 species